AUUGAACGCUGGCGGCAGGCCUAACACAUGCAAGUCGAGCGGAGCGGCGGACGGGUGAGUAUGGCCAAGGAAUCUGCCUGGAAGGGGGGGUUAAGGCCGGGAAAGGGGCGCUAAUACGGCUAACUAUCAGAGGGGCCUGGGUCGGUUUAGCUAGUUGGUGGGGUAAAGGCCUACCAGGGCGCGGAUCCGUAACUGGUCUGAGGGGAUGAUCAGUCACACUGGAACUGAGACACGGUCCAGACUCCUACGGGAGGCAGCAGUGGGGAAUAUUGGACAAUGGGCGAAAGCCUGAUCCAGCCAUGCCGCGUGUGUGAAGAAGGUCUUCGGAUUGUAAAGCACUUUAAGUUGGGAGGCGUUACCAACAGAAUAAGCACCGGCUAACUUCGUGCCAGCAGCCGCGGUAAUUC
rnacentral:rRNA from 1 species